GACGCACGCUGGCGGCGUGCCUAAUACAUGCAAGUCGAACGCAGUGGGGACGGGUGAGUAACCCGUGGGUAACCUCCCAUCAGAGGGGAUAACCCUUGGAAACAGGUGCUAAACCGAUACUGAUGGAUGGACCCGCGGGGCAUUAGCUAGUUGGGGCGGUAACGGCUUACCAAGGCCACGAUGCAUAGCCGGCCUGAGAGGGUUAUCGUCCACACUGGAACUGAGACACGGCCCAGACUCCGACGGGAGGCAGCAGUGGGGAAUCUUGGACAAUGGGCGAAAGUCUGACCGAGCAAUGCCGCGUGAGUGAAGAAGGUUUUCGGAUCGUAAAGCUCUGUUGUUAGAGAAGCGGUAUCUAACCAGAAAGCCACGGCUAACUACGUGCCAGCAGCCGCGGUAAUAC
rnacentral:rRNA from 1 species